GUCUCCUACGGGAGGCAGCAGUGGGGGAUAUUGCACAAUGGGGGAAACCCUGAUGCAGCGACGCCGCGUGGGUGAAGAAGCGCCUCGGCGCGUAAAGCCCUGUCAGCAGGGGAGAAAAUGACGGUACCUGAAGAAGAAGCCCCGGCUAACUACGUGCCAGCAGCCGCGGUAAUACGUAGGGGGCAAGCGUUAUCCGGAUUUACUGUGUGUAAAGGGGGCGCAGACGGCGAUGCAAGCCAGGAGUGAAAGCCCGGCGCCCAACCCCGGGACUGCUCUUGGCACUGCGUGGCUAGAGUGCUGGAUGG
rnacentral:rRNA from 1 species